UACCAAAAUUCUUUGUCAGGAUCUAUUUGCGUUUAGAUUUCUAAACAAUAAUACGAAUGGGUCUGUUAAAAUUUUGGAAGAUUGAUAUUAUUCGCCCAUAAUCAUGCCUCCUUCGUUUUGAAGGAACUUUUGAUUAUAUUUAGGAGGAUAACUGCCGUUUUGGUGGUACACCUCCGCCUUUUUAGAAUAACUAACGAACUUAUGAGUUGAACUUUAGCAGACUUUUAUUAGUCUUUUCAUGCUUUUGCUUCGUAGUAAAGAACGUUACACCU
rnacentral:snoRNA from 1 species